AUGGCUGCUCCCGGAGUGACAGCGCGGCUUUCUGGCUUGGAAGGCGGGACCGCUACUCUUUUGCGAUCCGCGGAGGGCUGCCGUGGGCAUCUUCAGCCCCUUUGGAGCCCUGCUUCCCGGCUGCGGGCUUCAGAGGCGAAUUUUUACACUUUGUUGAGUGCAUCGCGACUUCCCGCGCCUGAGGAGCCUGGCCGGAGCCUGCAGCGAGGGCAUACCCAGGGCAAUGCCCCGAUCCCCUCUCACUGGGCUUCACCUCUUCAAGAUUCUUCAAGAUUACAUCAGCUCACAUUGCCACACUGAGGACCAAACUUCCUCGGGUCCAAAGAAGGUGAGCUGAUGGCAGGUGAAGCUGAUGCCAUUCCUAAGAAUCCUGGGAUGAUGUCACAUAAGCAAAGAAGUGGCUCUACUCUAACUGACGUCACAGCCAUUUACUUGACUACUGGACUUCUGUUCCUUUGAGAGCCUAAAUCAUUCCUAAAGUCAUAGCACAAAAGGUUGGAGUGUGGGUGGGAGAGAGGAUAGGGUGGGAAGUAUCACUAUAUUCCUAAAUCUGUAUAUAUGAAAUAUAUGAAACUUAUGUAAUCGAAAUAAAAUUUUAAAAAAUUCAUAGCA
rnacentral:lncRNA from 1 species